rnacentral:rRNA from 1 species
AUGGAGUACAAGAGGUCAUCGCAUGUGGAGGAGGACGAGGAUGAGGAUUGGGCGAUGAGGGACCGUCGGUACCAGCAUCAGCAUCCGCACCAUCAUCGCCAUCACUACACCACGGUGCCGGCCACGGCCGCGCCCCCGCAGACAUGCACCUGCACGGCCAAGCUCCCCAGACUAAACGGAAUUGCUGGCGUCGUUGCAGAAGAUAUCAAGAUAAUGCUGAUCUGGGGCGAUGAGGACAAGCUUUUCGACAUAGAGCUGGCCAAGAAGAUGAACGAGCAGCUGGGCGAGAACUGCUACCUGCAGGGCAUCCCCAAGGCCGGGCACCUGCUCCACCUGGAGCGCCCCUGCGCCUACAACCGCCAGCUCGGCAGGUUCCUCGCCUACGUCAACUCCCAGGAAAACCAAACCACCAGUUGA